GACGAACCGUGCGAACGUUGUUCGGAUUCACUGGGCUUAAAGGGCGCGUAGGCGGGUGAUCGAGUCUGGGGUGAAAUCCUCUCGCUUAACGAGAGAACUGCCUUAGAUACUGGUCAUCUCGAGGAAGGUAGGGGCAUGUGGAACUUCCGGUGGAGCGGUGAAAUGCGUAGAUAUCGGAAGGAACGCCGGUGGCGAAAGCGGUUCUCUGGGCAUUACCUGACGCUGAGGAGCGAAAGUGUGGGGAGCGAACAGG
rnacentral:rRNA from 1 species